GAAAAUUUGAAGCUCUGCUUCAGAAACACUGUGUGCACCGUUUUCUGUCUCUGGCAGGACCAGGGAAGCAGCAAUGCUACCCCCCUGCCAAAGGAGAGGGGACUCCCCUCGUGGGAGACCCCGCUUCUGUUGAUAAACACUUUGUCUGUUUUUAUUCUGUCUGAAACCUUUCUUCACCUUGUGUGAGAAAUUGAAAA
rnacentral:misc_RNA from 1 species